rnacentral:tRNA from 1 species
UUUAUAGGGAGACCAAGUGAGACAAUCAGACCCAAGUAGAUAACUGAUUGAUUUCACCAUCCCAGGUCGGUCAAGGAACAAGUAGAUUGGCUUUCAAACUGAUUCGGUUCGGGAAAUGGGCUAUUAGCUCAGGUGGUUAGAGCGCACCCCUGAUAAGGGUGAGGUCCCUGGUUCGAGUCCAGGAUGGCCCACCUGUUCUGUUCAGGAAGAGGGGGUAUAGCUCAGCUGGUAGAGCGCUGCCUUUGCAAGGCAGAUGUCAGCGGUUCGAGUCCGCUUACCUCCAUCCUUCCCCAAGAGGCGAGCUGGUGAAGCCCAAGAACCGAGAAAAAAGCGUUCAGCACCUAGAGAAGUUAACCAACCAGAAACUUAACUUACUCAGACUGCUGAACGUUACCGUUCAGUCAGAACCUUGAAAACUGCAUAGCGAGAAACAAGUCAGGAAUGAAAACACAAUGCCAAAAAAAGGCGUUUGUGUCUUCAUCAGACAAAAGAUAUAGAU